UUUCAGAACAGUAUCAGGAGGAUAAGCUCACAGAACAAUUGUUCCCAUUGUAUCCCUUCACAACCAACAAGCAGCCUUGUGUUUCCUUUCUCUGCUCUGUUUUCUGGGCGUUGAGCGUGAUUGCUUGGGGCCAGCAGCUGGGCCUGGAGAAGCGAGAAUAGUCACGUGCGAGAUGAAACUGGGCAAGGAACGGAGCGAAUCCUCACUUUCGUGGAGAGGAGAAACGGUUGUGAAGCACUGGUUGAGAUGCAUUGCUUGUGAAACGGUAUAUUCAUGGUUCACUCACAAGCAAUAGCUUGUCUGCUUAGAAGUAUGGCUUUCCACAAAGAAUUCUAUUAUUUAAUGGACUGGAAGUAAUUGCUGAUUGAAUUAAUGUUUCUUUAGGUAAAAGACGUUGUGAUGAACUUCUUACACCGGCCCUUCAUCCUGUUUUGUAUCCUUCACAAGCUCCUUGUUCAUAACACCAUGGGCUUGCCCACUUUCUGCCCAUUACAUCCCUGCCUGUCACUCCCCCCCAUGCUACCUUACAUAGGUCUCUUCUAAACAAUUCUACCCAUGUUUCCUUGCUAUCCUUCGUAUCUGGGAUUUCUUUCUAGAACACCUGUGUGGUAUCACACUCGUUAUUUCUUUCUCCAAAACUUUUUUUGGUAUCCACCUCUUUUCCAACAAGUAAUUGGCCCUAACCAAUGCGCACAUACAUGCACCUCUUGUUAUUCUGUUGCCUCCCCUAGUGUUGAAAUUUUCCUUGAAUCAGCAGCCAGUAGUGAUUGCAUAGUACUCUGUAAAGCACCAUGUAAUUUGGUAAUGCUGUGUAAUGAUGCAUUUGAUGCAUGGCUUGAGACUACACAUUUAUGUCCAACAUCUUGUGUCAUUGUCGCACAGAAUGUUGGGUAACAUAGAAAUAUCAUUGUUGCCAUCUCAAAAAUGCAAGGCCAGAACAUGGGCAGACUAAUAAAAUCCUAUAUGAGGAAACACUACCAGAUUAGUUAGUGGGAAGGAUUUGAAGGAAAAAACCUGAAUAUGUCACAAUUGAAAAGCAUUGUGCUUAAGGUGAUAUGAAAGUUCAGUCUGUGGUGUCUUGAUUUGGGGUUCAUAUUUUUAAAUUAGUGUAUAUGAUGCUUGCCAAGUAAUAAAUAUUAACAUGUGAACCAAUGACUUUUGAAUCAAAAUAUUAAAUAUGGAUUUAAUAUCCAGUGCCAGAUUUUCCCCUUUUUAGCUUUGCCCUCUUAAGGCUGAUGGUGCUUUAAGUGGCCAACACAGAGGGGUAUAGUAAUUGUCUCUUAAACCCAGAGGCAAGAACGGAGCUUUCCUCUGGAUCCUGUCAGGACAAACAAAUAUAACAAAGACAACAUUUGUUAAAUGUCAGCUGUGAUACAAUGAUAACCCUUGCUUUAGAAUUGCUAUGUCAAUCAAUAGAUUUUGUAUUUCUUUGAGAUUUAGAUGCAUCUAAAGCUUUAACAGGUGGAAGUUAAAAUGGAUUUUUUUUUCCAAUUAAUUUUUAUUCUAAUUUUCAAAACCAAAACGAUACAAAAAGAAAACAACACAAAUCAAUAACUAAUACAAUACAAAA